rnacentral:tRNA from 3 species
CGGAAAGUAGCUCAGCUUGGUAGAGCACUUGGUUUGGGACCAAGGGGUCGCAGGUUCGAAUCCUGUCUUCCCGA